rnacentral:piRNA from 1 species
UAGAAACUGCCUGGUGUAGAUGCCAUGGU